GAUGCAAAUAUCUCACAAGCUUUUUUCUAAAUUGGAUAGACUACAGCUCUUGCUACAAGAAGAAGUCAACUGAUCUCUGCUCUCUUUGAAAUAUGAGCUUGUAUCCAAGGGACUGGAGAUGCUGAUCCAUCUUAGACUAAAAAGAAGCACUACUUCCAAGAGAGAAAAACUUCUGCAAGUUUAGUCACUAAGUGAUGCAUACCUUUGCUAAAGCAUUUUUAUGUGGUAUCUGGUAUGGAUUAUUAGAACGACUUUAAAAAAAAAAUUACCUGUACCAACUGAAAGAUUUCAAAAUGUAAGUGCAGCACAUGGCUUAGACUGGUUCCAUGUCAGAAGUUGGGAGUUUUUGUAAAUGAUUGUUCUAAACUAACACCUGGGUUAUCUCCACCUGCAUAAGUUGUCUCAAGCAGAUAAGUAUUUCCUAGACAAUAUUAAGUGUAUACAGAAAUAACUACAUAAUAGGCAAGCCAGAAUUGGUACUCUGUACUGCUGCUGAGGCUGUUUACUUCUAGCACUAGCCAGGCUUUUUUGUUGUUUUUUUUUUUUUUUUUUAACUUCCAGCCUUCUGUGCAUUACUGCUGGUGGUGAGCCAUAAUCUUAGGCUGUUUCUGAGCUGUGGUAAUGGGGAGCUAGCAUUCAGUUUCAGUACUCUGCAAGCAGGUUGCUUUUCCCUCUUGAAAUCACAGCACUAUUAUUUCCUAGAAGCACUAUUCCUUAGUGGUGUAGGAAUAUGUUACACUUCUAGUUUCCCUGUGAGCAAGAGCUGAGAGGAAAUACAGCAAAUGGGUAAAUUCUAUGCUGUUUUGGAAUGUAAGCAGAAAUUACUAUGAAGGCUUGUAAACUGCAUGGUAUAUGGUCUUAGUCUUAACUGGAGUAUUUUCUGUUAUGCAUCUCUGAAGUCUAGAGCCAAAGAAAGAUGACGGGAAUAAGCUUGUCUUCCAGCUGAGGAGCUGUUGAUCUUGACUAUGCGAUGACAAAAUAGCUGCUAUCUAUAUUGACAGCAGUUAGUAGUGUAAUAGGAACAAGUGGACAGCACUAAUGAUCCCAGUUGAAUGUUAGCUAUUGGGAGUGGUGGGGUGAAAUGUUUUAAACUGGUUUGCUAAUAGGAACUGAAUGUCAUUUGGUGCUUGAAGAGCAUCAGAGUGGAAUUGGAGCAGAAUUUUGCACACCAAGAUUGUUCCAUACUGAAUCACAGCAUGCCCAGGAGAUUUGCUCCAGAAUGAGUUGAUGGUUGGACCUGAUGACCUUAGAAGUAUUUUUCCAGUCUUCUAUACGCUAUUCUAAACAGUCUAAAAUGGACUGUAGAGUACGUGUUUUUGCUUUGUAAUGCUUUCCACUUUUUUCAUUAUAGCUCUAACUUCUCUUCAAAAAGGGAAAGGUAGGAUUGAAGAGCUCUCUUUAAGCUGAAGGAAUCACUGAUUCAUGUCUGAACAGUGCGAGUUGAAGGGUCACAGCAGUGUGCUGGGCUUCAACCUCCGAACUAAUCUUGGUGGGGAAGUUUUAUUUGAUUAAAUGAACAAAGUACUUUCCGGAUGCUGCAACAGGCAGCAUCACAUCAUUCAGCCUCACGCUGAUACAGAUCUCAGUUGCAAUAGAUUUACUGCCCCCAGCUGAGUUGCUCAUCAGAGCCCGCAACCAUUUUAAGUUUAUAUUUCUUCUUCUCUCUGGUUCGUCUUUCAUUUUUACCAGUCCAGCAUCAGCCAAAAGAUUAAGGCAUCAGCAGUUUUUAAGUCACUUUGCUUUAAGGAAACAGCACAGUUAGUUACAUGUGUUCCAGAUUCUGGGUCUUUAUACUCUGAAGUUAAGAACUAUGCGGAAUGUAUCUAUUAAGUGACACAACGGUUAUGUGAAAACAUCAAAAUCUUUGGAUAUAGACUAGAAACAGAACUGAGCUUAGACUCUGAAACAAGAGCAAGUUAUUAUUAAUUAAAGCUUCAGAUGCUUCACGGGGGCUGGUUAUUUCCUGACCAACAAGCCUACUGGUUGCUUUCAGUUUCAAAUAUCUAACAAAAAACAUCUUAAAUACCGAGAGGAACAGGCACUAGCUGCAAUAAUCUGUUGGAGAAGGAGAGCUGAUACAGAGAAGCACUCCUCCAUGGUACAUUUUUCUUAAAGUUCCAUUACCUUU
ensembl:lncRNA